UUUCCUCAGCAGCAGGCAGCAGUGUGUGUGAUGUCCAGGUGUUGUUUCCUCUAGCAGGCAGCAGUGAGUGUUGUGUGAUGUUCAGUUGUUGUUCCUCAGCAGCAGGCAGCAGUGAGAGUGUGGGUGAUGUCCAGGUGUUGUUUCCUCUAGCAGGCAGCAGUGAGAGUGGUGUGAUGUCCAGGUGUUGUUUCCUCUAGCAGGCAGCAGUGACAGUCUGUGUGAUGUCCAGGUGUUGUUUCCUCUAGCAGGCAGCAGUGACAGUGUGUG